AGCACACAUCCUGACCUUUCCCGGGGCAGGCUUGGCAUUGUGGGCCAAAGAAGCCAGCACAGCAUCCUCGCGUCUGAAACGGAAGGACAAGGGCCUCCUUUAGCAGGUGCUGGCCUUGAACAUCUAUUUCAUCUUCUUCUGCUUCCUGAGACUGGGAUACAGGCUGGUGCUCCUCACCAGCUCCAAGCAACAAAGAAUAACAGGUGAUACCGGAGGGGUGGUGGGAGCCAGGAAGCCUUCAGCACCUCCAAACCAGGGACCCUUCUCCUGGAUGGUGCUUCAUCUGCGGAAGGAGCAGAUGCUCUGGCAUGCUCUGAGAGCCCACUGUGGUUCAGGGAAGCCCCACAGGCGGUCUGUUUGGCUUCAAUGACUUUAUUCUUAAGUACACUAAGACAUAAAACUCUCUCCAGCCCCACGCUCUGCAGUGUAAACCCCGAGAAGAGGCCUCAUCCUCCAGGGAAGAACAGGACAGUAAGUUGCUUUCCCCCAUUUUCUUGGGACCAGUGCUACUUUGGGUGACAACGAUGAGCUGAGCAGCAGGUGGCAGGAAGAACACCUGAGAAAUGCAGUGUAGGGAAGACUGUUCCGUCGCCGAGUGCCAGGGAAGGCCAGCGCAUACUCACGAUGACG